rnacentral:rRNA from 1 species
AUUGAACGCUGGCGGCAGGCCUAACACAUGCAAGUCGAGCGGAGCGGCGGACGGGUGAGUAAUGCCUAGGAAUAUGCCUGGGAGUGGGGGAUAACGUGCGGAAACGGGCGCUAAUACCGCAUACUAUCAGAUGAGCCGAGGUCGGAUUGGCUAGUUGGUGGGGUAAAGGCCUACCAAGGGGACGAUCCGGAACUGGUCUGAGAGGAUGAUCAGUAACACUGGACCUGGGACACGGUCCAGCCCCCAACGGGAGGCAGCGUUGGGGAAUAUUGGACAUGGGGCGAAAGCCUGCUCCAGCCAGGCCGCGUGUGUGAAGAAGGUCUUCGGUUUGUAAAGCACUUUAAGUUGGGAGGCGUUACCCGCAGAAGAAGCACCGGCUAACUCCGUGCCAGCCGCCGCGGUAAUAC